rnacentral:rRNA from 1 species
UUUUAGUCGUAACAAGGUUUCCGUAGGUGAACCUGCGGAAGGAUCAUUAAUGAGUUGUGAUGGGGUUGAUGCUGGCAGCCAAUCUUUUGGGUGCAUGUGCUCGCCCUGACAAUCAUCUUCCAAACACCUGUGCACAUUUUUGAGGGAGUUUUCGAGUUGAUUGCUGCUUUUUGGCGAUUUUCUUGAAUUCCCUUAAAUCAUUAUACGCUGUUACAAAUGUUGAACGUGCUUUGUGCCGCAAGGCCAUUAAUAUAAUACAACUUUUAACAACGGAUCUCUUGGCUCUCGCAUCGAUGAAGAACGCAGCGAAAUGCGAUAAGUAAUGUGAAUUGCAGAAUUCAGUGAAUCAUCGAAUCUUUGAACGCACCUUGCGCUCCCUGGUAUUCCGGGGAGCACGCCUGUUCGAGUGUCGUGAAAUUUCUCAAGCUUGGAUGGCCUUUUUGUCUGUCCUUAGCCUUGGUUGUUGGGCUUUGCCGUGUCCUUUAUUGGGACGGCUGGCCUUAAAAGCAUUAGCUGAUCCUUGUGCGGCACUGGUUCUACUCAGCGUGAUAAUAGUCUGAUCGCUGAGGACAUCUUUUGGGAUGGCCAGUCCUCAUUUGGGUUGCUUAUAGACCUGGUCUUGCAGAUUGUUCAAUCUGUGGCUCCACUUUUCAGCUUUGACCUCGAAUCAGGUGGGACUACCCGCUGAACUUAAGCAUAUCAAUAAGCGGAGGAAAAGAAACUAACAAGGAUUCCCCUAGUAACUGCGAGUGAAGCGGGAAA